rnacentral:rRNA from 1 species
UACGGAGGGGGCUAGCGUUGUUCGGAAUUACUGGGCGUAAAGCGCACGUAGGCGGCUUUGUAAGUUAGAGGUGAAAGCCCGGAGCUCAACUCCGGAAUUGCCUUUAAGACUGCAUCGCUAGAAUUGUGGAGAGGUAAGUGGAAUUCCGAGUGUAGAGGUGAAAUUCGUAGAUAUUCGGAAGAACACCAGUGGCGAAGGCGACUCGCUGGACAAGUAUUGACGCUGAGGUGCGAAAGCGUGGGGAGCAAACAGG